rnacentral:lncRNA from 1 species
GACAGCGAUUUGGUGCAUCAUAUAAUAAGCCGAUCUUAGCAGGUGUUUUCCCAAAGGGACAGUAGAACCUCUUGCUAGGGCCUCGAUCGGAGCCUGUGUAUUGGAGGAAGGGCCGACUGCUUUGCCGCAGAAGAAGUGUUUCUCUAGCCACAUCAUCAAAAAAGCUGUGUACUCUCUGUCACCGAUAGGCCCGGUCUUCAUAUUUUUCUCAAUAUAGCCUUUCCACCCGCCGAUUCCCUUUGUUUCCAGAUGAUGAGUUGGUUUGAUCAGGAAAUCAAAGGGCGAGUCGAGGGAAGAGAUGUCGAGACCGGUCAGCAUCGGACGUCAGCCAAAGUAGGAGUCAUGGGCCCAUGUCCAAAGAGAUACGCCUUGAGGGCGUCAUACCAGAAAUAAGAAGCUGCAAUGACCAUGGGUUCAUUCUUCUCCAUUUGAGACAGAGAUAAGUUUAUGCAUUGGCCAAUUUUUAGUUCGUCCCAGAGAACCCUCUUAGAAUUGGACAUCCUUUGAAACCAUUCUC